UUUAAUGUUUGGUCUUAGUACGCAUGACAGAUCACAUGGAACAAGGAGAGUUGAUGCACAUCCAUUGCACCUUAUGUUUUAUUUUCUAGUUUUUUUUUUACCAGGCUGUAGAAAGAAGUGUAGAAUUAUUGUAAAGGAUGACCUGUAGGGUUGAUGUGAAAAAAGGCAAUUAGAUGGAACAUUAUUAUCUGCUGGUUGUGCAUUGCGGUGGAUUUCUUUUCUGCAAAAGUUUCAAUUCAACAAUAAACGCAGAAAUGUUCAUUUUGCUUUGCUAAAUUAAGCCAACAUUGUAACCAACUCAAUAAAAUUCAGAACUACCGGAUUGAAAGUACGGUCUGAUGUGUGUAUAUAAUAACUGGACCACUAGUAAUCAAACUUGUUAGCAGGUAUCCAUUCCCGUUGUAUCUGGUGUGCUAUCACUCGCUACCCAGGAGAGGAGGAAAACGAAAGCUUUUUCUGCGCGCUCAAGGACGUUUAUAGAGGUACUAACCAACAUCAAGCUUUGAUUUUUUAUGUAUAAUAAAGAUAUGUAUAUUUUUUGUACACACAAAAAUAAAAUAGAAAAUUUUGCAAAUAAAAAAAAAAGAAACAAGGAUCCUUUAAGAUUCCCUCCACAAUCCACACAAAUAUUUUGUGUAUCCUUUUUAUUUAAUGUGAAAUUUAAGGAAUUUCCUAGGCGGGGUUGAUGAAAAUGGACAAAGAAUUUUAUAAUUUUAUGAAAUGUUUGUAUUAAAAUUAAAUUUAAACAAAAAAAGUAAAACGCAACAAUUCAGGGUGGGGUCCGUUUUCUUUUUUGUUUAAAUUAUCUCCAUCGAUAAAACAAAAAAAAAGUAAAAUAACACACAAAAAAACCAC